GUGAUAGUUGAGCUUGUUAAUAGGUGCCGCACCAACCAGAAAAAGCUGAUGCAGAUGCUCACUUCAACUGGUCAUGCCAGGUUGAUCUAGUGAAGGAUGGGGGACAUACAUAUUUCAUCAGGUUUCUUGAUAGCCAGGAAGCAUAUCCAGAACAGCGUGCAAUGGCUGCAUUUGUUUUGCCUGUAAUUGUGGAUGGUCACAGACGGGGUCAAGCUCUAGGGAGAUUUUCCUUUGGUCACAACAAUCAUCUCAAGUCAAUUGUUGCAGCAUAUUGGAAGCAUACUGGGUCUCCUUUGAGUUCCCUGCCUUCUUUGGCUCAUAGAAGAAGUCCAAGUAGUGUUGUUCCAUCUUAGAUUGGUCCAAUAUCGAGAGUUGGCACUGACAUCUCGUCUCUUGUUCGAGAUGGAAGGGUCUGCACUAGCAGCCCUCUUGCUACUUCUAGAUUGGCUUGAUCCUUUGGGAUCGACUCCUUUUGGAUUGGCCCGAUCGUCGUCAUGGCUUGAUAUGAAUGGAGGAGGGCUGAGGCAACUAAAGAUGAUAGAUUUGGAGCUUUAAGUAGGUCACAGUAUGGUAUUGUUGACCUUGCAGCUGCUUUAUUCUAUCGGGCUUAUGUUAACAGAGAUAAGCCAUCAUCAUCUGAGAAGCGGGUGGAGAGAGAGCAUGCUGAUGCACGUUUAAGAGAAGAGCUCAAAAAAGGAAAGUGGCUAUGGUUGAUGCUGCUCUUAUACUCCUUGGUAACAUGAUUUCAAGGGUGAGUAUGAAAAUUUAUUCUCUUAUUUGGAUUUCGAGAAGGAUACCUUAUCACCUUUUUUUUUUUUUUUAAAUUAUUAUUUCCUUAUAUAUUCAAUAAGGUUUUGUUUCUUAUAAACAUACAUAUAAAUACACAUAAAUGCUCCAUCAAUUUUCACCUUGUCAGCAUGCCUCUAGGGGUUCAUCUAUGUGAACAUGAAUGUGUCUAUUGUUGACUAAUGUUCUUAUGAAAUUUCUUUUUCCAAGAUCUUAUAAAUAUGUUAGUUGUACCCCAAGAUGUCUGGGACCUCAGGUUAUUCAAACAAAUUCCAUCAAUCCUACACAAGAAGGAUCUUGGAAGCAUGAAGCAUAUUUGUUGUUUCCAGUUCAUUUGGAUGGAACAUUGUUGGACAAUGCUAACACUAUGAAAGCUAAAAUGGAGUUAUUCUCAACCACCGAUGUUCUUCAUAUAUUU